AUGAGUAAUGACACCUUCUUAAUUUGCUCCUGGAAUGUAUGUGGCCUUGGCGAUAACGAUAAAUGCGCUGACGUUCUCUCCGAACUAAUGACGACUAAACCACACGUAACCCUCUUGCAAGAAUCAAAGCUCGAAAUCCUCCCUGCCCCUAAACUAAAAUCUUUUCUGCCACGCACGCUGGAUCAAGCCUUCUCGCUUCCAGCCGUCGGAUCUGCUGGUGGCACUAUCUUUGCCCUCAACUCAACCUUCUUCCAAGUCGUCUCUUACACACACCUAACCUUCUCUUCUACCCUAAUCCUACGAACAGCUGCGUGCACCCAACCCAUUGCUAUCACAAACAUCUACGCCCCAUCAUCACGAUCACUCAAGCAAGCUUUUUUAAACGAAUUCUCAUCCAUCUCACAACCCGACGACACCCCCUGGAUUAUCGCUGGUGACUUUAACCUCAUCCGCUUUCCGUCUGAGAAAAACAACCCUGCGCUUCAUCACGCUGAAGCCACUGACUUUAACCAAACCUUGGAUGAUCUAGCCCUCAUCGAACUGCCUCUUCUUGAUCGCAGGUUUACCUGGUCCAACAAUCGAGCUACUCCCACCUUAGAACGACUAGAUUGGGUUUUCUUUAACCUCGCAUGGGCGGACGCCUUCCCUAACACCUCUCUGUCCUCUCGCACAUGCUUCACAUCCGAUCACGUCCCACUCCUCAUCCAUGUCACCACCACCAUCCCACGUUCCAAUUUUUUCAAAUUUGAGCCGGGCUGGGUCAGUUUCCGGCCCUGCGGCGACAUCCUCAACCAAAUUUGGGCCUCACAGCCCUCACCACCUUCCAACGCUGCCGCUUCCCUCGUCGCCGCGCUCAAAAAAUCCCGUUCCCGCCUCAAAAAAUGGGUGCGCUCGCGCAUUCCCACCCCCUCCGCGAAGCUCGGUGCCACGCUGCUAUCUCUGCCCUAG
rnacentral:rRNA from 1 species